rnacentral:rRNA from 1 species
UACGUAGGGUGCAAGCGUUAAUCGGAAUUACUGGGCGUAAAGCGUGCGCAGGCGGUUGUGCAAGACCGAUGUGAAAUCCCCGGGCUUAACCUGGGAAUGGCAUUGGUGACUGCACGGCUAGAGUGUGUCAGAGGGGGGUAGAAUUCCACGUGUAGCAGUGAAAUGCGUAGAUAUGUGGAGGAACACCGAUGGCGAAGGCAGCCCCCUGGGCUAAGAUUGACGCUCAUGCACGAAAGCGUGGGGAGCAAACAGG